CCUCUGCCUCCCAAAUGCUGGAAUUAAAGGCGUGCGCCACCACGCUCAGCCCUGAGGUGUCUCUUAAUUAAACAAUUGAUGCUUGUCCUCAUAGAUGAUAAUUUGCUCUGGACAUUCAUAAAUGGAACAGCUUUUGCCACUGCUGUGACUUUUUGCAGGGAUUGUUCCACACAGCUCAAUUGGGCUUCUAGACAAAGGGCCUCUGUGCUCUCUCCUCUGACCCCAGCCCUGGCAGGACUCUGGGGUCCUUGGCCACACAGGCAUGAUGUUCUUGCAACUCUUUGUCUCUGAAUUAAUGUGGGUAUUGAAGGGGUCUUGGCCCCCAUGUGAGAUAACAGAGUCUGUUAUCUAUCGUGCCUCCCAGUAAUCUUUUUAAUAAAUUUAGAUGCACUUUGUCUUGCAGUAUGUUAGUCUGAAAUAUAUCCACAGGGAAUUGACACGUGGAUGUCAUAGACAUUCAUCUGGAGAUGCAGGAACCUCUGUCCCAGAGUGAUGGCUGCAUUAUCUGCAUGAAUAAACCUCUCAAGGAUCCACGUGUUCUGGCCAAGAUCAUCCAUGAGCCAUCUGGAUCCACUAGAAGCAGAGAGCAGAAUGCUUCUGUCUCCAUUCUCUCUUCCCAGGUCAGAAACGAGGUGGUGUUGUUUUUGUUUGUUUUUUGUAAGAGUGUACCAGUUUGAGGGUCACUUUAAUAAAUCUUCCAUUGUUUGGAAAAAUGUGUUAUUUUAUUGAGGUGAAAUUGAGAAGAAAAAUGGAAAAACCUUUGAAGGUAGAUCCCAUGUCACCCUGUGUGUUUGUGGGUCAGGUGUUAGGCUAAGAGAGUUCCUCUUGGAUGAUAGACAAGACUGAUGCCUUAAAGCUCAUGAGAUAUUUUCUGGUCAUUCCUGCAAGGGCGUCCCUGCACAGGAAGCUCUGCUGAGCGGUGGUGUGACCACAGUGCGAUUCGUACAGUGAGGGGCACACUGGAUGCAGACAACUAAGGGGAAGGCACCACCUAAGAGAGAUGGUUUUUGAAAAGCCCCAUGACGCAGCAAUUCCAGGGUUAGUGGGUAGCCACUUCAGGCUUGACACCAGGGCUCUAUGUGAACCUUAAUAUUGAAGCCUGGUCCCUUGGUUGGGUCAAGGCACUCACUCCCC
rnacentral:lncRNA from 1 species